UAACAGCUUUAGCCAUCGGCAUUUUUGGCAUAGUGUGUUUUAAUUGUUCAAGCAAUUGUCUUUGUUUACAAAGGCGGAGACUCUUGCUCGCCAUGAUAAUGAAGAGCACGACCCUAAUUACAUCUGCUUCAUCACGUGAGCACAAGGAGAAGCUGAAAAGAUGAAGAGGAGCUACACCUCAUUCCUGCAAGUUAUCUACAACAGAGGAGAAGAGCAUCAGCCUGAUCUUUGAAGUGAGCCAUCAGAAUCUGCAGAACAUAGGGAGGUGCCACACUGGUGCUGCUUCUCAUCAGAACAUAGGGAGGUGCCACACUGGUGCUGCUUCUCAUCAGAACAUAGGGAGGUGCCACACUGGUGUUGCUUCUCAUCAGAACAGCUUU